UUAAGUUAAUAAGGGCGCACGGUGGAUGCCUUGGCACUAGAAGCCGAUGAAGGACGUGACUAACGACGAAAUGCUUUGGGGAGCUGUAAGUGAGCAAAGAUCCAGAGAUGUCCGAAUGGGGGAACCCGGCAGGUAAUGCCUGUCACUCAUUACUGUUAAGGUAAUGAAGAGGAAGACGCAGUGAACUGAAACAUCUAAGUAGCUGCAGGAAGAGAAAGCAAAAGCGAUUGCCUUAGUAGCGGCGAGCGAAACGGCAAGAGGGCAAACCGAAGAGUUUACUCUUCGGGGUUGUAGGACUGCAACGUGGACUUAAAGAUUAUAGAAGAACUACCUGGGAAGGUAGGCCAAAGAGAGUAAUAGCCUCGUAUUCGAAAUAGUCUUUAUACCUAGCAGUAUCCUGAGUACGGCGAGACACGAGAAAUCUCGUCGGAAUCUGGGAGGACCAUCUCCCAACCCUAAAUACUCUCUAGUGACCGAUAGUGAACCAGUACCGUGAGGGAAAGGUGAAAAGCACCCCGGGAGGGGAGUGAAAUAGAACCUGAAACCGUGUGCCUACAACAAGUUCGAGCCCGUUAAUGGGUGAGAGCGUGCCUUUUGUAGAAUGAACCGGCGAGUUACGAUAUGAUGCGAGGUUAAGUUGAAGAGACGGAGCCGUAGGGAAACCGAGUCUUAAUAGGGCGCAUUAGUAUCAUGUCGUAGACCCGAAACCAUGUGACCUACCCAUGAGCAGGUUGAAGGUGAGGUAAAACUCACUGGAGGACCGAACCAGGGCACGUUGAAAAGUGCUUGGAUGACUUGUGGGUAGCGGAGAAAUUCCAAACGAACUUGGAGAUAGCUGGUUCUCUCCGAAAUAGCUUUAGGGCUAGCGUCGAUGUUAAGUCUCUUGGAGGUAGAGCACUGUUUGGGUGAGGGGUCCAUCCCGGAUUACCAAUCUCAGAUAAACUCCGAAUGCCAAUGAGAUAUAAUCGGCAGUCAGACUGCGAGUGCUAAGAUCCGUAGUCGAAAGGGAAACAGCCCAGACCACCAGCUAAGGUCCCAAAAUAUAUGUUAAGUGGAAAAGGAUGUGGCGUUGCCCAGACAACUAGGAUGUUGGCUUAGAAGCAGCCAUCAUUUAAAGAGUGCGUAAUAGCUCACUAGUCGAGUGACCCUGCGCCGAAAAUGUACCGGGGCUAAAACAUAUUACCGAAGCUGUGGAUACCUUUAUAGGUAUGGUAGGAGAGCGUUCUAUGUGCGAAGAAGGUGUACCGUGAGGAGUGCUGGAGCGCAUAGAAGUGAGAAUGCCGGUAUGAGUAGCGAAAGACAGGUGAGAAUCCUGUCCACCGUAAGACUAAGGUUUCCAGGGGAAGGCUCGUCCGCCCUGGGUUAGUCGGGACCUAAGGAGAGACCGAAAGGUGUAUCCGAUGGACAACAGGUUGAUAUUCCUGUACUAGAGUAUAUAGUGAUGGAGGGACGCAGUAGGCUAACUAAACCAGACGAAUGGAAGAGUCUGGCCAAGCAGUGAGGUGUGAUAUGAGUCAAAUGCUUAUAUCUCUAACAUUGAGCUGUGAUGGGGAGCGAAGUUUAGUAGCGAAGUUAGUGAUGUCACACUGCCGAGAAAAGCUUCUAGCGUUAAUUAUACUCUACCCGUACCGCAAACCGACACAGGUAGUCGAGGCGAGUAGCCUCAGGUGAGCGAGAGAACUCUCGUUAAGGAACUCGGCAAAAUGACCCCGUAACUUCGGGAGAAGGGGUGCUGGCUUUCAGUCAGCCGCAGUGAAUAGGCCCAAGCAACUGUUUAUCAAAAACACAGCUCUCUGCUAAAUCGUAAGAUGAUGUAUAGGGGGUGACGCCUGCCCGGUGCUGGAAGGUUAAGAGGAGUGCUUAGCGUAAGCGAAGGUAUGAAUUGAAGCCCCAGUAAACGGCGGCCGUAACUAUAACGGUCCUAAGGUAGCGAAAUUCCUUGUCGGGUAAGUUCCGACCCGCACGAAAGGCGUAAUGAUUUGGGCACUGUCUCAACGAGAGACUCGGUGAAAUUUUAGUACCUGUGAAGAUGCAGGUUACCCGCGACAGGACGGAAAGACCCCAUGGAGCUUUACUGCAGUUUGAUAUUGAGUAUCUGUACCACAUGUACAGGAUAGGUAGGAGCCUACGACCUCGGGACGCCAGUUUCGAGUGAGGCGUUGUUGGGAUACUACCCUUGUGUUAUGGCUACUCUAACCCAGAUAGGUUAUCCCUAUCGGAGACAGUGUCUGACGGGCAGUUUGACUGGGGCGGUCGCCUCCUAAAAGGUAACGGAGGCGCCCAAAGGUUCCCUCAGAAUGGUUGGAAAUCAUUCGCAGAGUGUAAAGGUAUAAGGGAGCUUGACUGCGAGAGCUACAACUCGAGCAGGGACGAAAGUCGGGCUUAGUGAUCCGGUGGUUCCGCAUGGAAGGGCCAUCGCUCAACGGAUAAAAGCUACCCCGGGGAUAACAGGCUUAUCUCCCCCAAGAGUUCACAUCGACGGGGAGGUUUGGCACCUCGAUGUCGGCUCAUCGCAUCCUGGGGCUGUAGUCGGUCCCAAGGGUUGGGCUGUUCGCCCAUUAAAGCGGCACGCGAGCUGGGUUCAGAACGUCGUGAGACAGUUCGGUCCCUAUCCGUCGCGGGCGUAGGAAAUUUGAGAGGAUCUGCUCCUAGUACGAGAGGACCAGAGUGGACUUACCGCUGGUGUACCAGUUGUUCUGCCAAGAGCAUCGCUGGGUAGCUAUGUAGGGAAGGGAUAAACGCUGAAAGCAUCUAAGUGUGAAACCCACCUCAAGAUGAGAUUUCCCAUGAUUUUAUAUCAGUAAGAGCCCUGAGAGAUGAUCAGGUUGAUAGGUUAGAAGUGGAAGUGUGGUGACACAUGUAGCGGACUAAUACUAAUAGCUCGAGGACUUAUCCAA
rnacentral:rRNA from 1 species